rnacentral:rRNA from 1 species
ACUCCUACGGGAGGCAGCAGUGGGGAAUAUUGCACAAUGGGGGAAACCCUGAUGCAGCCAUGCCGCGUGUGUGAAGAAGGCCUUGGGUUGUAAAGCACUUUCAGUAGGGAGGAAGGUAGUGUAGUUAACACCUGCAUUAUUUGACGUUACCUACAGAAGAAGCACCGGCUAACUCCGUGCCAGCAGCCGCGGUAAUACGGAGGGUGCGAGCGUUAAUCGGAAUUACUGGGCGUAAAGCGCAUGCAGGCGGCCUGUUAAGUCAGAUGUGAAAGCCCGGGGCUUAACCUCGGAAUUGCAUUUGAAACUGGCAGGCUAGAGUCUUGUAGAGGGGUUAGAAUUUCAGGUGUAGCGGUGAAAUGCGUAGAGAUCUGAAGGAAUACCAGUGGCGAAGGCGGCCCCCUGGACAAAGACUGACGCUCAGAUGCGAAAGCGUGGGAGCAAACAGGAUUAGAUA